rnacentral:lncRNA from 1 species
GUCGAGAUCCAAAAUUGGAGUUCGUCUAUCUCAACUUGACAGGGAAAAGGCUGAGAUGUUGGAACAAUUCGAGACUGAAAGGAAAAAAGUGAAGAAGCUAGUAGAGUUAAAACGAUCAGUGGACAUCCGACUGGAUCAAGAAAUGAAGAGAAACAGUGAAUUGCAAAAAGAAUGUAAUGGAAUGAAGAAACUUCUAAAAACAGCUAAGAAGAAACUAAAGGAAUAUGAGAAUGGAGAG